UUAUUGUCAAUUUUGCAAUAUGUGCCAGACAUUCAGAGCAAUUAAAAAUCUGUUUCACUCCAACCCAUGUGGGCUUUAUAAAAAUC